rnacentral:rRNA from 1 species
UACGGAGGGUGCAAGCGUUAUCCGGAUUCACUGGGUUUAAAGGGUGCGUAGGCGGAUAGGGAAGUCCGUGGUGAAAUCCUGCAGCUUAACUCAGAACGGCCAAGUGAUACUGCAGUGCUAGAGUGCGGAAGGGGCAAUCGGAAUUCUUGGUGUAGCGGUGAAAUGCGUAGAUAUCAAGAGGAACACCUGAGGUGAAGACGGGUUGCUGGGCCGACACUGACGCUGAGUGCGCGAAAGCCAGGGGAGCAAACGGG